rnacentral:rRNA from 1 species
UGGGGAAUCUUGGACAAUGGGGGCAACCCUGAUCCAGCGACGCCGCGUGGGUGGUAAGGCCUUCGGGUUGUAAAGCCCUUUCAGCGGGGAAGAUGAUGACAUUACCCGCAGAAGAAGCGCCGGCUAACUCCGUGCCAGCAGCCGCGGUAAGACGGAGGGCGCUAGCGUUGUUCGGAAUCACUGGGCGUAAAGGGCGCGUAGGCGGCUGCUUAAGUCGAGGGUGAAAGCCCGGGGCUCAACCUCGGAACGGCCUUCGAGACUGGGCGGCUCGAGUCCCGGAGAGGGUGGUAGAAUUCCCAGUGUAGAGGUGAAAUUCGUAGAUAUUGGGAGGAAUACCGGUGGCGAAGGCGACCGCCUGGACGGGUACUGACACUGAGGCGCGAAAGCGUGGGGAGCAAACAGGAUUAGAUACCCCCGUAGUCC